rnacentral:rRNA from 1 species
GAUGAACGCUAGCGGCAGGCUUAAUACAUGCAAGUCGUGGGGCAGCAUGAAUGUAGCAAUACAUUUGAUGGCGACCGGCAAACGGGUGCGGAACACGUACACAACCUUCCGAUAAGUGGGGAAUAGCCCAGAGAAAUUUGGAUUAAUACCCCGUAACAUAUAGAGGUGGCAUCAUCUUUAUAUUAUAGCUACGGCGCUUAUUGAUGGGUGUGCGGCUGAUUAGAUAGUUGGCGGGGUAACGGCCCACCAAGUCUACGAUCAGUAGCUGAUGUGAGAGCAUGAUCAGCCACACGGGCACUGAGACACGGGCCCGACUCCUACGGGAGGCAGCAGUAAGGAAUAUUGGUCAAUGGACGCAAGUCUGAACCAGCCAUGCCGCGUGAAGGAUUAAGGUCCUCUGGAUUGUAAACUUCUUUUAUCUGGGACGAAAAAAGGCGAUUCUUCGUCACUUGACGGUACCAGAUGAAUAAGCACCGGCUAACUCCGUGCCAGCCGCCGCAGUAA